AUUAAUUUUAUGAAAUUGAAAUUGACGAAAUUGCUAAUGGUGGGAUGUUAUUGCUAUAGUAUGAUUUAAUUUAUUGGUAGUUGAAUGAUUAUGUUUCUGUAGUUGCUGAGGUUUGUUCAACAGAGAAUGUUUGCUAAAUUACAGAGGGAGGAGAGAGGAGAAAGGAGAGAGAAGAAAGGAACGGGUGAAUAAUGAAGAAACGGAGUUUGUAAAUCGUUAGAAAACGUCUAAUUAAUGUCAAAUCAUUGAAAUGCAUAAAUAACAUUAAAAUAUUUUGCUCAUUGCUCAUAAUUGCGAAUAUGCCGCUAUAUUAACAAAGUUAGUUAAUAUGGCAUAUUAAUGGGUACAGCUCCAAAAAAAUAGAAGUCAUCUUCCAAAAAUAAAAAUGACAUGAAUUGGCCCUAAGAAAUUGAAGCUACCAGAGUUAGGGUCUUCAUGCUUAUUCUUCGAAGGCAUACAGUACUGUACUGUACUGGUGGAGGACUUUGUAAGAGACUUGGAAUUCAAUUCUCCAAUUAUCCAGUAAUUCGGACAUAAUUUAUUUCGCAAAAAUCCAGUCGAUUAAUUAGAAGAAGAGCUUGUCGCAGAGCAAUUUCUUCUUCUAAAACCAUAAACCCUACGUUUUUUUGCUCAACCCCUUCAAACUCGUCUUUAUCAUGGUUAUGGAACCCAGCAGCAAGUAACCAAUGCAUUUAUAGGCCGUAUUCUAUUUUCUAGUUUUGAGUCUACCCGGUCACUUUGAAUUUCGCUUGUGCUAGCUAGUGUUGUUGGUGUUGGGAUUCUAGACGUGGCUUAUGCAGAUACCAGUGAGGUUUCUGCCGAUUCUCCCUUGCCACCUGAUAUCCCAUCAAGUUAUGAUAACCUGGAAGAAAUAGCAAAAACGGAACAGUACAGGUUGGAGGAACUUAUGAGAAGCAAAAGCAUGAAGUAUGGUUCUUAUCCACAAUUCACCCUUACAGUAAAGGGCGAAAAGAUUGCUAUCAAGUUUCCAGUACCCAGUUAUUGCGAUAUCCCUGGACUGAUAAUUAACCUUGCUUCAAGCCUCAAUGGUGAUUCAGUAAUGGAUGUUCAAUUUAGGGCCAGCCUGUAUAAUUUCAGCAUAGUUACUUCGCAGCUAGCACUCAGGCUCCCAAAUGAAAAGAGAGAAAGUGGAAAGAGUAAAGUUGUUGGGGGGGG